UACGAGGGGUCCUAGCGUUGUUCGGAAUUAUUGGGCGUAAAGAGUCUGUAGGCGGUUUUGUAAGUCAGGUGUGAAAGCCCCGGGCUCAACCCGGGAAGUGCAUCUGAUACUGCUUAACUUGAAUGUUGGAGAGGGUAGUGGAAUUCCUGGUGUAGUGGUGAAAUACGUAGAGAUUGGGAGGAACACCAGCGGCGAAGGCGGCGACCUGGACAAGUACUGACACUCAACUGCGAAAGCGUGGGUAGCAAACAGG
rnacentral:rRNA from 1 species